UGCAUAGAUCAAUAAGGCAUUUAUUUGCACCUUUCAAAUCCAUACCGUGGUGACAACUAACUUCAGCUUCCUGUAUGCUGUAAGGUGAACUUGUCACAAAGCAAAAAGCAACUUAACUUUCCGAACUUUCGAGCUUCUUCACGGGCGCAUGGUGUAUGGCCUAUGUCUCAGUUGCAGGCCAGCAAGCACCUGCCUGGCGCCGCUAUGCCUGCCUCAACCGAAAAAAGCCACCCAAAAGUGGGCAGCGUCGGCCGCCGA